CAAAAAUCUGGUGUUAAAUUCUUUGAGAUUGAUCACGCUCGAAGGCUGCAGGCACCCGCUUUACUGUUCAUUGUUUGUGCAGGAUUGGCCUGGACCUGGCAUAAAUUAAUGGACAUCUAUGUGAUGAAUGACUUUUCAUUGAUGUAUCAAUUUCCGGGCACUGAAGCAUCAUAUUACAGACUUACAGGAAGCAGUUGAGUUGCUGAAGUCUGAACUAGAAUGUUCUUUCAUUGAUGCAUAUUUUUGUUAUUGCUGUUAUGUAAUGACAAUAAUUAUUGUGGUCGGAAGCUGGCACAGUUGAUGAUUUUUCUGGGCAUGCUUUGAUUCUGAAAGAAACAAAGGGAGGGAAGAAGAUAAAUCUUGGGGUUACUAGACUUUCAUUCUCUGGACGCUGAAGAGAAAAGUUACUGGUUGAGUCAGGGCGAAGGCAAAGAGGCAUAUCUUGAGACAUACAAUAGCAGCAAAGUGGAUGAUGCGAGUACAAGGAACCAAUACUAGACAAAAGACCACUUUAGUUAACUAAUUGGAGAUUCUUUGAAACAAGAUCAACACAUCCAACAUACAAGCAAAACUUGAGAUGACAACAGCACAUGCUCUAUGAAGUGCGUUUUAGAAGCGUCACCUUGCUUGGAGUCAUUACCAUUCUCUCUGUAUCUUCAUUCAACCAAGCACAACAUUGUUGACAAUAUGUAUAUCCACUUACUUCACAAAUUACGUAUAUGUAGUUAAUGUUGUGCGCAUGAAAUAUGUGAUCUCUUAAUCUUCAACGGUAUCUAUUUAUAUAUAUAUAUAUAUGUUUGUAAUAAAAUAGAAGACUGGAAGUUGGGCAUAAUAUUA